AUUUCUUUAGAUAAUUAACUCAGAGAUAAAAUGUUGUGGGUGGGCCUGGUGCUGUUUGUAUGCUAAUUCCACUCUCCUGGGAGGGGUUUUGGACAAGGAGUGAGUCACAUGUACACAGAUGGCUUCUUGUGAACCAAUCCCCUAAUGAAUAAAGGAGCCAAUUACUGGGCGAGUAGGAGGGACUUCUGGGUUAGCAGGAGGAAGCAGGAGAAAGUUAGGCCUUUUUGGAAUGGGGAAGGCAUGAGACUAAGUUGUAGCUGCUAGAGUUUCCCAGAAUCAUGGCUGAUCCACAAGGAUUUGCCACUGGAGGAAUCAGAUUUUAAUAAGAUUUACAAGAUUAGGAUUUAGUUGUUGCGCCCAGAGAUUGAGUUACCGUCGUUUCUGAACUAAGUUUGUGUUGCGUUUUCCUUCAUGUGGUGGCUUGUUUGGGUUCAAAAGAGAAAGGCCGACCAGCAGCUCCCGAGGAACGGUACAACUGAGAUGGCAGCUCGAGGUGAAAGAGAGGAACUAGACAGACGGAAGAAAGAACGGAGCCAAGUCAAAGUGGACUCUGAUCAAAGCUCAAUUUUACUAUUCCAACACGCAGUUAUGAAGGAGGGGAAGGGGGGGCCGAUUCCCGCCAAAUAAUCCUGGAGUCCAGUAGCAGGGUGACCACGUGUAUGGCUCCAGAACAGCAAAGCAGCAGGUUCCAGCAGUGGGCGUGGCAGAACGAUUGAGGGGCAAGCUCCAUCCAGAUGUAAACAGUGGAACCAUUAAGGCUGGGGGAGGGAAGGCUACAGGUUCAGAUACCAUAAAUGCAUAGAGGCCAUAAAUUCUGAUCCAGUAGUGCUGGAGUAAACAGACAGUUGUGAAUCACCCAACAUGGGUGCUGGGGAUUUAACUCAAAUGACCUGGAAGAGCAAACUCUUAACUGCUGAGAGCUCUCUCCAGGGCCAAUAAGAAUUAGUUUUGAACUACAUAUCCAACUCUACCACGUCCAGGUCUCAUGUGAACAUUGAAAAUACUUAGCCAGGCGUGGUGGCGCACACCUUUAAUCCCAGCACUUGGGAGGCAGAGGCAGGUGGAUUUCUGAGUUCAAGGCCAGCCUGGUGUACAAAGUGAGUUUAGGAUAGCCAGGGCUACACAGAGAAACCCUGUCUCAAAAAACCAAAAAACAAAAAAAACAAAAAAAAAGUAUCUUUAAAGAAAAUAAGAUCGAAAACAUGAAUGGAAACAGCUGCAUAAAAUAAAGAAGAUUAUGCAAGAUAUAAAAAAACACUAAACAAAGAUGGAAAUUGAAAAAAAUCAAUCUGAGAUGCUGAAAUGAAAAGUUGAAAAGAAAUCUCUGUGGAAAGGACAGAAUAAAUGAUCUUGAAAAGGGAACAAUCAAAGACAGAUAGAAAAAUAAGAAAGUCCCUGUAUUGGUCAGGGUUCUCUAGAGGAAUGGAACAGAUUUUAUGUAUAUAACCUAUCAUAUCUAUAUACAUAUAUAAGUCUAUCUAUCUAUAUUUAUAAUUUAAAAUAGCUUUUAAGCUGUUGUCUGGCUCUUUCUACAAUGGCUAGAAAGUCCAAGAAUCUGAUAGUUGUUCAGUCCAUGAGGCUGAAUAUCUCAACUUGAUUUCUGUCUAUGUUAGAAUCCUGAAGAAGGCUCUAACAUCAGUGAAGGAACGUGUCAGCAGCAGUGUGGAUGAGUUUGUCAUCAUGAGUGAGGCCAAGCAGGCAAAAAGCUUCAAUCUUCCAUGUCCCUUUAUGUGGACUGCCACCUGAAAGUGUGACACAGACUUAGGGUGGGUCUUCUGAGCACAAUUGAUACAGAUUUAGGGUGGGUUUUCCCACCUCCCAUAAUCCAAUUAGGAAAAUCCCCAAAGGUGUGCUCAGAUGUUUGGAUCUAGUUGGUUCCAGACAAGUUAACCAAGAAUAGCAUCAUAAGUACACACCCUGCCAAUUGGAUGCACAAUCACAACUUCUUCUUCUUUUUGUUUGUUUUUUUUCGAGACAGGGUUUCUCUGUAUAGUCCUGGCUGUCCUAGAACUCAUUUUUGUAGACCAGGCUGGCCUCAAACUCAGAAAUCUGCCUGCCUUUGCCUCCGAGUGCUGGGACAAUCACAACUUCUUAUGUCAGGCUUAAUUUCCAAAGUCAACUUCUCACCUCCACAGGCUCAUGCACAGGCAAGUGUGUCUGCACAUACACACUUACUGAGUCCACUGUAAGAGGACAGUAGACUAGGCAAUGAAAGUAUUGCCCUAAAGUAAAAGCCAUUCUUACCUGCUCCCUCCCCUGAAAGACCACAUCAGGAAAACCAGCCCUGUGAACUUAUCAGACACAUUAGACCGAGGAGAGAGAAAAAACCAUAUAUACAACAUGGAGUAAUUUAGGACAGUGCACAACCUGAUCUCACACCUUCAAGUGCCACUAGCAUUUGCAAGUGUUGUGCAAUGACUAGAAAGAACUGUAAA
rnacentral:lncRNA from 1 species